rnacentral:lncRNA from 1 species
UGAGGAGGUCUUCCCCUAUUUAUAGGCAUCAACCUCCAUGUUCUACGACAUUCUAGAAUAUUCCAUAUAAGUAUCCUAAACAAUAUUCAUAUCUACCGAUUCUCAUAUGUUCUAGAAUAUUCCACUACUCUAGAAUAUUCUCACAUUCUCUACUAUACAUAAAAGAGUUUCUAUCAUCUUCUAGAAUGUUCGAGAGAACUCCAUAAUGUUCUCGAACCUUCUAGAGUAUUCUAGCUCAUUCUAGACUAUUUUA